rfam:Stegodyphus mimosarum contig15172, whole genome shotgun sequence.
GCCUUCGUGGUGUAGUGGUAAGCACACUUGGCGCGUAUUCGAGAGGUCCGAGGUUCGAGUCCCGGCGAGGGCA